CGGUUUAUCAUCGUUGUAGCCUAGUAGGUAUGGUUGGUGGGAAACCUUUUACAUAUGUGUUAUUUAUAGGAAAAGAACGGUGAUGCCUUCCCUUUGGAGGUGCCACAACUGGAGCUCCAUGGUUCAUCCGAUGUGUAUUUACAGGUACGGAAUGGCGAUGCCUUCCUUUUGAAGGUGCUGCAACUGGAAUGCCAUUGGCCUUCCCAUGGUUGGCAGGAUGGAGUGUUGUUGCUGAAGAAGCUGCUGCUCCUGCACAAUGUAUUAGAACAAAUAUUUGAUAUUCAUUCCCCAGCAGAUGUAUUUCCUGUAUGAAUACUGAGA
rnacentral:lncRNA from 1 species